rnacentral:rRNA from 1 species
UGGGGAAUAUUGCACAAUGGGCGCAAGCCUGAUGCAGCCAUGCCGCGUGUAUGAAGAAGGCCUUCGGGUUGUAAAGUACUUUCAGCGGGGAGGAAGGGAGUAAAGUUAAUACCUUUACUCAUUGACGUUACCCGCAGAAGAAGCACCGGCUAACUCCGUGCCAGCAGCCGCGGUAAUACGGAGGGUGCAAGCGUUAAUCGGAAUUACUGGGCGUAAAGCGCACGCAGGCGGUUUGUUAAGUCAGAUGUGAAAUCCCCGGGCUCAACCUGGGAACUGCAUCUGAUACUGGCAAGCUUGAGUCUCGUAGAGGGGGGUAGAAUUCCAGGUGUAGCGGUGAAAUGCGUAGAGAUGUGGAGGAAUACCGGUGGCGAAGGCGGCCCCCUGGACAAAGACUGACGCUCAGGUGCGAAAGCGUGGGGAGCAAACAGG